CCUUAAUUUAAGCGCGAGCGAUUCAAAGGGCCGGGCUCAUGCUCGCAAGCGUUCGCUCGCCGGUGCUCAUGGUUCUACCGCUCGUGGUCCACGUUCAACACUUGACAAGUGCCUGCAGAUACGGUGGUGUAGUUCCUUACGCUCUUUUACUCUGUCACGGAGCCACAAGGUCUGCUGGCGCCAUUGUUUUUGUUUUGUCAAGAGCAAACUUCUGUGGGCAGCCAGUGGUAUCCAAGAGGGAAGGGACCUGGAUUUGUGUGGUUACUGCAGCUACGUCUUAUUUUAUGUGGUCACCUUUUCUGCUGUAUUUUAUAAUUUUGUAAAAUUAUUCCGUGU